UCUCCUCGCGACGCUCGUACACGCAGGAUCUCUCGCGUGACGUAAAACUUUCUCAUCUCCAUGUUACGCGCACUUCCUAGUCAAUCAAUUAUCAUUAUUGCUUUCUUCAAGUGUAUACACCUUUGUAAAUAGUGUUUUAUUAAAGAUUAGUUUGAUGAAAUAGUACACUUUAUUAUUUACCCAACGCACUUGAGUGUUUAAACUCUUAAAUGAAUUUUUAUGUGACAAGACCGAGUUACAUGGGACAUCCUGUAGAUCGAUUCUUGCAUUCGACCUCUCGACAUUCUCGUCUCGAAGAAAAAAUUGGUUAAUAACUGAAGAGUUCACGAAGAUUUGAGAAUUCCCAUGGUAAAGGGGAGAUUUUUUUAUGCGUUUCAGUUGGGACUUUGAAAUAUUAUACUGCUGCGACAAAAGUGACGCAACGAAUAAAACCAACCAUUUUCAACGCGGGGCAAACUGUUUAGGGAUAUACAGUUACGGACAACAGUUUCCGUCAGAUAACCACUUUUGUAUUUCUCGAAUAUAAACAUAUUUUUUAUAAAAAUGUUUUAGAUGUUACAAAUUAGAUA